GUUUGGUGCCUUGCUCAGCCCCUCAGCCCCUUUUAAAGCUAUAGUUGACCCAAAAUGCAAAUUCUGUCAUUAUUUACGCAACAUAAUGUUGUCCCAAACCUAUAUGACUUUCUUUGUUCUAUGGAAAAAUGUUGUUAACCAAACAGUUUCAGUUUUGACUUCCAUUAUAUAGACACAAAAUACAGUAGUAGUGAUUGGGAACCAAAAUUGGUUACCAGCAUUCUUCAAAAUAUAAAGAAUUGUUCAAGUUUCUCAAAAGAAAAAAAUGGAUAGGUUUGCAACAACUUUAGGGUAAGUAUAAAAUGACAGAAUUUAUAUUUUGGGUGGAUUAUCUAAAUUAUCUAUACUCAAAACGCAUUAAUAUUGAAGCAUGGGUGACACUUGACAUUCCUAGUUUUAUGAGAACUGGUAUUAAAUAGAUAUCAACUUUAACAUAUUCCAUAAGUCCCACAUAAAAUAAGACGACACAGGAAAAAUAAAAAAUAAAAUAUUGUGACUGAAGGCUGCAGUUUAGAAAGAAGGUCUUGAAAAUAAUUUUUAAUACCUAUUAUUAUUUAUUGCAUAUCGGUCUCUGGAACCCCAAACAUUAAGGAAGCGAAGUCAAUUUCAACAGAUAGACAGCCGCGAGCCCAUGUGCGAACGAGUCUCUCGAGCGCUCUAUUUCUGAAGGACCUCCUUCUUGCGCCUCAGGUUUGGUUGAUAAACCUCAGCUCCUCAAACCACCAGUUACUCCUGCACAGAGGAGAACAGCACAUCCGAGAGCGUCGCAUCGAGCUACAGUCACGGAGACGGGAUUCGCGACUGUCACACGCGGAAGAUUUGAGAAGGAGUACAGCACAAACUUCCUUUGGGAGAGAAAGUAUAUUUAAGAAAAUAUCUGAAGGUAAGAUUUUAAUAUGUAUCACUUAUAUAACCUUUAUUUGCUUCUCAUUUGAAACAGUGCUUUUUGUUGCACACUAAAUUACCAGUAUGACAAGUGAAGUAAUUGAAAAAGCAACAUCAAUUUCAUAAUCUCUUAGUAUUUGCCAUGUCCCUUAUUUAAGAAUGACCCCCUCCUCCCAAAAGUAAAAAUACAUCAAAUCAUGAAAAAAAAACAUCUAAGUAAACAAAUACAUUUUACUAAAUAAAAACAAACAAUAAAUAAAUACA
ensembl:lncRNA